UAUAGAGGGUGCGAGCGUUAAUCGGAAUUACUGGGCGUAAAGCGUGCGUAGACGGUCAAGUAAGUCGGGUGUGAAAGCCCCGGGCUCAACCUGGGAAUUGCAUUCGAGACUGCGUGGCUAGGGUGCGGAAGAGGGAAGCGGAAUUUCCGGUGUAGCGGUGAAAUGCGUAGAUAUCGGAAGGAACACCAGUGGCGAAAGCGGCUUCCUGGUCCAGCACCGACGUUCAGGCACGAAAGCGUGGGGAGCAAACAGG
rnacentral:rRNA from 1 species